UGGUGAACGGACUCAUGGCCGC
rnacentral:piRNA from 1 species